rnacentral:pre_miRNA from 10 species
UCUCAAGCUGUGACUGCAAAGGGAAGCCCUUUCUGUUGUCUAAAAGAAAAGAAAGUGCUUCCCUUUGGUGAAUUACGGUUUGAGA